rfam:Cryptococcus neoformans var. neoformans JEC21 chromosome 9 sequence.
GGGGGUGUAGCUCAUUUGGCAGAGCGCGUCAUUAGCAUCUUCUUUUCGAAAGAUUCUUGACGAGGUACUGGGUUCAAUUCCCAGCUCCUCCA